GUCUUCGGCCAUACCACCCUGAACAUGACCAAUCUUGUCUGAUCUUGGAAGCUAAGCAGGGUUGGGCCUGGUUAGUACUUGGAAGGGAGAACAUUUGUUUAUUUUUCAGUUUUUUGGGGGAG
rnacentral:rRNA from 1 species